rnacentral:rRNA from 1 species
GAUGAACGCUGGCGGCGUGCCUAAUACAUGCAAGUCGAGCGAACAGACGAGGAGCUUGCUCCUCUGACGUUAGCGGCGGACGGGUGAGUAACAUGUGGAUAACCUACCUAUAAGACUGGGAUAACUUCGGGAAACCGGAGCUAAUACCGGAUAAUACAUUGAACCGCAUGGUUUAAUAGUGAAAGACGGUUUUGCUGUUACUUAUAGAUGGAUCCGUGCCGUAUUUGCUAGUUGGGGAGGUAACGGCCUACCAAGGCGACGAUACGUAGCCGUCCUGAGAGAGGGAGCGGCCACACUGGGAAUGAGACACGGCCCAGACCCCUACGGGAGGCAGCAGUAGGGAAUCUUCGGCAAUGGACGGAAGCCUGAACGAGCAACGCCGGGUGAGUGAAGAAGGUUUUCGGAUCGGAAAGAUCUGUUGUAAGAGAAGAAAGAGUGUGAGAGUGGAAAGUUCACACUGUGACGGUACCUUACCAGAAAGCCACGGCUAACUACGUG